UUCCAGACUCCUACGGGAGGCAGCAGUGGGGAAUAUUGCACAAUGGGGGAAACCCUGAUGCAGCGACGCCGCGUGAGUGAAGAAGUAUUUCGGUAUGUAAAGCUCUAUCAGCAGGGAAGAAAAAAGACGGUACCUGACUAAGAAGCCCCGGCUAACUACGUGCCAGCAGCCGCGGUAAUACGUAGGGGGCAAGCGUUAUCCGGAAUUACUGGGUGUAAAGGGUGCGUAGGUGGCAUGGUAAGUCAGAAGUGAAAGCCCGGGGCUUAACCCCGGGACUGCUUUUGAAACUGUCAUGCUGGAGUGCAGGAGAGGUAAGCGGAAUUCCUAGUGUAGCGGUGAAAUGCGUAGAUAUUAGGAGGAACACCAGUGGCGAAGGCGGCUUACUGGACUGUCACUGACACUGAUGCACGAAAGCGUGGGGAGCAAACAGGAUUAGAUACCCCUGUAAG
rnacentral:rRNA from 1 species